rnacentral:sRNA from 1 species
GGGGCUCGCCCUUAUAGGGCGUUUCCUCCCUAGACUUAGGGCCGCCGGUGCAAACCGUGCGGCCUCUUUUUUUGUCUGU